UCAUUCAGUUGGGCACGUUUAGAGAGACUGCCGGUGUUAAGCCGGAGGAAGGUGGGAUGACGUCAAGUCCUCAUGGCCUUUAUGUCUAGGGCUACACACGUGCUACAAUGGGUGGUACAAAGAGCAGCUAACUCGCGAGAGUAUGCAAAUCUCAAAAAGCCAUCCUCAGUUCGGAUUGGAGUCUGCAACUCGACUCCAUGAAGUUGGAAUCGCUAGUAAUCGCGGAUCAGCAUGCCGCGGUGAAUACGUUCCCGGGCCUU
rnacentral:rRNA from 1 species